GAUGAACGCUGGCGGCGUGCUUAACACAUGCAAGUCGAACGGAAAGGCCCAAGCUUGCUUGGGUUCUCGAGUGGCGAACGGGGGAGUAACACGUGGGUGAUCUGCUCCGCACUUCGGGAUAAGCCUGGGAAACUGGGCCUAAUACCGGAUAGGACAGUGGUUUGGAGGCCAUGGUGGAAAGCUUUUUCGGUGUGGGGUGAGCAGGCGGCCUAUCAGCUUGUUGGUGGGGUAAUGGCCUACCAAGGCGUCGACGGGAAGCCGGCCUGUGGGGGUGUACGGCCGCAUUGGGACUGAGGUGCGGCCCAGACGCCUACGGGUGGAAGCAGGGGGGAAGAUUGCUCCAUGGACACAAGCCUGGUGAAGCGGCGCCGCGUGGGGGAUGACGGCCUUCGGGUGGUAAACGCCUUUCGCUAGGGACGAAGCGUUAUGUGACGGUACCUAGAGAAGAAGCACCGGCUAACUACGUG
rnacentral:rRNA from 1 species